rnacentral:rRNA from 1 species
GACGAACGCUGGCGGCGUGCCUAAUACAUGCAAGUAGGACGCAGUUGCGAACGGGUGAGUAACGCGUAGGUAACUACCUAUUAGAGGGGGAUAACUAGUGGAACCGAUAGCUAAUACACCAUACUAGUCGAUGGACAUGCGUUGUAUUAGCUAGUAGGUAGGGUAAUGGCCUACCUAGGCAACGAUACAUAGCCGACGUGGGAAGGUGUGCGGCCAAAUUUGGACUGAGAAACGGCCCCGACUCCUUCGGGAGGCCGCAGUAGGGGAACUUCGUAAAUGGGGGGAACCCUGACCUGGCAAGGCGGGGUGAGUGAAGAAGGUUUUCGGAUCGUUAAGCUCUGUUGUGAAGGAAGCGGUACUUAAUCAGAAAGGGACGGCUAACUACGUGCCAGCAGCCGCGGUAAUUC